GGGGGAGUUGCCCCCGAUGCCGAUCCAUUGUCCCGUACACCCCAUGCUCGCCUCUCAAAGGCUCUAUAUGUGCUUAAUUGGUUACAGGUAGGAACCCAUAAUGUUCCACCAGUUACGCGACAUAUUGCCGGUGCUACGGGCCAAGAUUGCCAAUUGCCCCAUCCACAGGUCCGAUGGUUUAAUUAUAUAGAUCAAAUAUGGCAAGGUCCUGUGGAUUUAUUAACAUGGGGAAGGGGUUAUGCUUGUGUUUCUACUACUACAGGUCCUAGAUGGCUGCCCGCGAAGUGGGUUCGACCACGGCUAGUCCGCGGUAACCCGGAGCAAUCACCGAGCGACUCGGAACAAUCGCAGGGCGCAAUCGAAGACGAAAACACUCCGGAUCUUUGUCUUCUUUUUGCUUAAGAUCAAAAUGUUUUGUAAAAUUGUUGCAUGCUUGUAUGUAUUGGUGUCCUCUGCUGCGGUCCCACGGGUAGACCCUCGCCAAAAUGUCUGGGUCACCUGGGCGAAUCAGACAGGACAGAAUACCUUUUGUAUUUCUAUGGCCACCCCCUCGGACCCCUUCCGUACAUGUUUAAUCGGGUAUCCGUAUUUGUUUCCACCCGAUUUUGUUUUGUAUGUUAGUAAUUAUACCCUGCUUAAGGAUGACAAUUCUGAUGUGCAGAGUCAGAAUCGAACCUAUCAAUUGUUGUCCCGCAAUAAUGAUCUUGAUGAACAAUGCCCAGGCGUGCUUGGGAAUAUGCUUCAGGGCCAUAUAAUUAAUAAUCUUAAUGUUUCCCUUGCUUUUCCCCCUCAAGAAUUGGAGCUACUGGGCUCUCUCCCGGGCCGACUUAGUAACACUGCUAAAUUGUCUUUAGGAUGCUUUGCUUUUGGAGGACAUAAUCCUGUUCUUCAUGCUACUUAUGGAUGGAAUUUUAGCGCUCACGCGUUUUUGGCCACCCAUAAUGUUACUCCCUCGGUUCCUUUUGUUCAAGGUAAUUAUUGUGAUAGUCAGGGCCCUGGUAUAGGCCUUAAGUUACGAGAAUGGGGAAUUUGGAAUAAUGGCAUGCCCAAGAUGCUUCCCCCAGGAUACUUUUUAAUCUGUGGGGAUAGGGCAUGGCAAGGUAUACCAAGUAACCCGAUUGGAGAACCAUGCUACCUUGGACGAUUAACACUAUUUGCACCUUCCCUGCGCCAGUUGCAUGAUAUUAAUGUUGCGUAUGCUCCUCGCAAUAAAUGUUCUAUUAAUUCCUUUGCUCCCGACUGCAAGGACACCAUUGAAUUUUUAGACCCUGUGUCUCACAUUUUUGCAGCAUUUUUGGCUCCUGGAGUGGCUUCUGCUAUUGCUUUAAAUAAUCUAGAGAAGUUGGCAUGUUGGAGUAUUAAACAGUUUAAUUUAACUUCUGAAAUUAUAACUGCUUUAUUGCAAGAUGUAGACAGUAUACGACACGCUGUUUUGCAAAAUCGUGCUGCUAUUGAUUUUUUACUGUUGGCACAGGGGCAUGGAUGUGAGGAUUUCGAAGGCAUGUGUUGUAUGAAUUUGUCUGAUCAUUCUUACUCUAUUCAUGCCUUGCUUCAGCAGUUGCAGGCUAAUGUUAAUAAAUUGAAGCAAGUUGAUAACCCCCUGUGGGAUUGGCUUGCAAGCUUUGAUUGGCCCAGUUGGCUUGUAUCGUUAGCUCACACACUUAUUAUUGUUUUUCUGGGUGUGUUAUUAUUAGUUCUUUUUGUUCCUUGUAUAAUUCAAUGUAUUCAACGCAGCUUGCAACGCCUUGUGGAUUCUGCAUUUUAUAAAAAGGGGGGAAUUGUGGGGAACUAUCGUGUAUUUUAGGACAAGAAUUGUAAAGUCAAUCUGGAAAAAUACUGAAAUCCUUGUAAUAGUCAUGUGACUGACUGAACUGUAGUUAACCUUGAAUUGUGAAGUAAAUAAAGCCAUUAAUGGUGCCCA
rnacentral:lncRNA from 1 species